AACAAACGCUGGCGGCGUGCUUAAUACAUGCAAGUCGAACGAGGAAGUCCUUUCGGGGAUUGUACUAGUGGCGCACGGGUGAGGAACGCGUGGAUAAUCUUCCUUAGAGUGGGGAAUAACUAGUCAAAAGAUUAGCUAAUACCGCAUAAGACCACAGGAUCUUCGGAUCUAGGGGUUAAAGGAGCAAUUCGCUCUAAGAGUGAGUCUGCGCCCGAUUAGCUAGUUGGUGAGGUAAUGGCUCACCAAGGCGACGAUCGGUAGGUGGUCUGAGAGGACGGCCACCCACAAUGGGACUGAGCCACGGCCCAGACGCCGACGGGAGGCAGCAGUAGGGAAUAUUGCGCAAUGGAGGAAACUCUGAUGCAGCGACGCCGCGUGAGUGAUGAGGGCCUUCGGGUUGUAAAGCUCUGUUCUCAGGGAAAAAGAAAGUGAUUGUACCUGAGGAGAAAGGACCGGCUAACUUCGUGCCAGCCGCCGCCGUAA
rnacentral:rRNA from 1 species